CUCCCUAAUCCAAGAGAUGAUGUGACUGGGAAUAUCUGCCCUGCGGGGACUUACUGCACUGCAGCAUCGGCAGUCCCCACGCUCUGCCCAGCAGGCACUUUCUCUAGCCUGCCAGGGAGGAGAACACUUUCUGAGUGCCAGCCUUGCCCCUCUGGCUUCUAUUGUGAGUUACCUGGUCUCAGUGCCCCCACUGGAGAGUGCUGGGAAGGUUAUUACUGUGACAACCAACAAGGGCCAGUUAUAGAUUUCACCCUUUACCCGUGCCCACAAGGCUUUUACUGCCCACCAGGGACAAACAGGAGCACUCAGUACAGCUGUCCUGAAGGAACCUUUGGACCAAGGCAAAGGCUAAGAACUAUCAAGGAAUGUCAGAGAUGCCCACCAGGAAAAUACUGUGAAUCCUCUGGACUUGCUGCCCCAACAGGUCCAUAAAACAUUUAAGUGACUUCAGGCUUCACGUAAGGAUGGU
rnacentral:lncRNA from 1 species